rnacentral:rRNA from 1 species
CAAGUAGAACGCUGAAGAGAGGAGCUUGCUCUUCUUGGAUGAGUUGCGAACGGGUGAGUAACGCGUAGGUAACCUGCCUUGUAGCGGGGGAUAACUAUUGGAAACGAUAGCUAAUACCGCAUAACAAUGGAUGACACAUGUCAUUUAUUUGAAAGGGGCAAUUGCUCCACUACAAGAUGGACCUGCGUUGUAUUAGCUAGUAGGUGAGGUAACGGCUCACCUAGGCGACGAUACAUAGCCGACCUGAGAGGGUGAUCGGCCACACUGGGACUGAGACACGGCCCAGACUCCUACGGGAGGCAGCAGUAGGGAAUCUUCGGCAAUGGGGGCAACCCUGACCGAGCAACGCCGCGUGAGUGAAGAAGGUUUUCGGAUCGUAAAGCUCUGUUGUAAGUCAAGAACGAGUGUGAGAGUGGAAAGUUCACACUGUGACGGUAGCUUACCAGAAAGGGACGGCUAACUACGUGCCAGCAGCCGCGGUAAUACGUAGGUCCCGAGCGUUGUCCGGAUUUAUUGGGCGUAAAGCGAGCGCAGGCGGUUCGAUAAGUCUGAAGUUAAAGGCUGUGGCUCAACCAUAGUUCGCUUUGGAAACUGUCAAACUUGAGUGCGGAAGGGGAGAGUGGAAUUCCAUGUGUAGCGGUGAAAUGCGUAGAUAUAUGGAGGGACACCGGUGGCGAAAGCGGCUCUCUGGUCUGUAACUGACGCUGAGGC